CCUACGGGGGGCAGCAGUGGGGGAUAUUGCACAAUGGGGGGAACCCUGAUGCAGCGACGCCGCGUGGGUGAAGGAGUGCUUCGGCAUGUAAAGCCCUAUCGGCAGGGAAGAAGCAAGACGGUACCUGACUAAGAAGCCCCGGCUAACUACGUGCCAGCAGCCGCGGUAAUACGUAGGGGGCGAGCGUUAUCCGGAUUCACUGGGUGUAAAGGGAGCGUAGACGGCAGUGCAAGUCCGGAGUGAAAGCCCGGGGCUCAACCCUGGGACUGCUCUGGAAACUGCAAAGCUGGAGUGCGGGAGGGGCAGGCGGAAUUCCUGGUGUAGCGGUGAAAUGCGUAGAUAUCAGGAGGAACACCGGCGGCGAAGGCGGCCUGCUGGACCGUAACUGACGUUGAGGCUCGAAAGCGUGGGGAGCAAACAGGAUUAGAUACCCCAGUAGUC
rnacentral:rRNA from 1 species